AGCCUGAACGCUGGCGGCGUGGCUAAGACAUGCAAGUCGUACGGGUGUAGCAAUACACCAGUGGCGGACGGGUGAGUAAUGUAUCGCUAACGUACCCCGAUGUCUGGGAUAGCUGCCCGAAAGGGCAGGUAAUACCAGAUUACAUAUUCUUAUCGCAUGACGAGAAUCUCAAAGGGAAGCCGCAUCGGGAGCGGGCGAUAUCGUAUCAGCUAGUUGGUGAGGUAAUGGCUCACCAAGGCGACGACGCGUAGCCGGACUGAGAGGUUGGCCGGCCACAUUGGGACUGAGACACUGCCCAGACUCCUACGGGGGGCUGCAGUAACGAAUCUUCCGCAAUGCACGAAAGUGUGACGGAGCGACGCCGCGUGUGGGACUAAGUCCUUGGAUGUAAACCACUGUCAGGGGUUAGAAAGUUCUGAUCAACCCAGAGGAAGGCACGGCUAACUCUGCGCCAGCAGCCGCGGU
rnacentral:rRNA from 1 species